UCAGCUGGCCGGACGGCCGCUCCGGCAGGGACCGAAAGGUCGCCGGGGAGGAAAGUCCGGGCUCCUCGGACAUGCGGUGCCGGAUAACGUCCGGCGGGGGCGACCCCAGGGAAAGUGCCACAGAGAACAGACCGCGGAGUUCGGCGAGGCGAGCAAGGGUGAAACGGUGCGGUAAGAGCGCACCGCGCGGCCGGCAACGGUCGCGGCACGGCAAACCCCACCGGGAGCAAAACCGAAUAGGGACGGCGCGGGGGCGACCCCGGGACCCUUUGUCCGGGUCUUGCCGUCCGGGUAGGUUGCCAGAGGCGCCGGGCAACCGGCGUCCCAGAGGAAUGGCCGUCGCGCGGGAGCAGUCCCGCCCUACAGAACCCGGCUUACAGGCCGGCUGAUGCC
rnacentral:RNase_P_RNA from 1 species